rnacentral:tRNA from 1 species
GGUCAGGAUAGCUCAGA